AAUUUUGGACAAUGGGCGCAAGCCUGAUCCAGCCAUGCCGCGUGAGUGAAGAAGGCCUUCGGGGUGUAAAGCUCUUUCGGACGGAAAGAAAUCGCGCAGGCUAAUACCCUGCGCGGAUGGCGGUACCGGCAUAAGAAGCGCCGGCUAACUACGUGACAGCAGCCGCGGUAAGGAGGAGGGAGCGAGCGUUAGUCGGAAUUACGGGGCGUAAAGCGUGCGCAGGCGGUUGAUUAAGACAGGCGUGAAAUCCCCGGGCUUAACCUGGGAACUGCGCUUGUGACUGGUCAGCGAGAGUACGGCAGAGGGGGGUGGAAUUCCACGUGUAGCAGUGAAAUGCGUAGAGAUGUGGAGGAACACCGAUGGCGAAGGCAGCCCCCUGGGCCGAUACUGACGCUCAUGCACGAAAGCGUGGGUAGCAAACAGG
rnacentral:rRNA from 1 species